rnacentral:rRNA from 1 species
UGGGCGGACGGGUGAGUAACGCGUGGAAACCUGCCGUAUACGUGGGGGAUAACACUUAGAAAUAGGUGCUAAUACCGCAUAAGCGCACAGCUUCGCAUGAAGCGGUGUGAAAAACUCUGGUGGUAUACGAUGGUUCCGCGUCUGAUUAGCUAGUUGGUGGGGUAACGGCCUACCAAGCCGACGAUGCGUAGGGGUUCUGAGAGGAAGGUCCCCCACAUUGGAACUGAGACACGGUCCAAACUCCUACGGAAGGCAGCAG